rnacentral:rRNA from 1 species
GAUGAACGCUGGCGGCGUGCCUAAUACAUGCAAGUCGAGCGAACAGAUGAGGAGCUUGCUCCUCUGACGUUAGCGGCGGACGGGUGAGUAACACGUGGAUAACCUACCUAUAAGACUGGGAUAACUUCGGGAAACCGGAGCUAAUACCGGAUAAUAUAUUGAACCGCAUGGUUCAAUAGUGAAAGACGGUUUUGCUGUCACUUAUAGAUGGAUCCGCGCCGCAUUAGCUAGUUGGUAAGGUAACGGCUUACCAAGGCAACGAUGCGUAGCCGACCUGAGAGGGUGAUCGGCCACACUGGAACUGAGACACGGUCCAGACUCCUACGGGAGGCAGCAGUAGGGAAUCUUCCGCAAUGGGCGAAAGCCUGACGGAGCAACGCCGCGUGAGUGAUGAAGGUCUUCGGAUCGUAAAACUCUGUUAUUGGGGAAGAACAAAUGUGUAAGUAACUAUGCACGUCUUGACGGUACCCAAUCAGAAAGCCACGGCUAACUACGUG